CCUGUCUCGUUCGUGCACAGCAAAGUCCGGUCAUGGCUAUCCGCCAGCGCCUGAGGAAAAUGAAGCCUAUACCUAUCCACUUAUCAGUGAUCACAUUCCAUCUCCAAAAGGACUGCAUUGCCACUUAAGGUUAACGUACUGCGAUAGCCUUGCAAACAAAGUAAAACCCCAAACAAAAUUAUCGACGCCAUAAAAAUAUUUUAGUAGUACGAAUCAACAACCGACACAAGUUAAGUUGCGGAAUAACUGUACAUUGCAAAACAUAAUAAGGACGAAUAAGGACAAGUUAAUCCAUAAGAAUUAGAGCAGCUGAUUGGUGACGUCCGAGGCAGAUUCGGUGACGGAAUCAUUAUGCAGACGGCAUUCAACUUUACAUAGACACUUUCUAACGCCGACUCCGACUGGCCAGCUGCUGGUUCCAAGUGAAGAAUAAAUAAGUCUUUGUCUGUCUUUAUUUCGUUGUGUUGGCGAACGUCGGAUCAAAGAUUGGGAAACCGGGAACAAAUUUACACAGGAUUUACACAAUUGCUUCGGUGUUGGAAGUGAUUAGAGCAGCGUUGGCCACGAUGUAUCGCCGACAAGUAAAUCACGACCAAGAUCACAUAGAACGAUUUGGCCCAGUGGUGGCUGAAUUUUUAUUCAGACGGACGAGUUGCAGUCUAGUGACAUUGGAUCGAACAAUACGCAUCAUAAGAAUUAUCUAUUAGCGUGUCUCGGUCGUUUCCGCUGAUACUGUGCCAAUCCUAUGCCGGCUGGUGUUGUGAACGAUGAAACAAUGACAUGGAUGAAGAAACCUCGUUGCGGACUUCCACGAGGUUCUUCCACUUGACGGAAGCGCAACAUUGUUAUACAAAAUACUUGCAGUCGUUGGCAUGGAAUCGAACAAUACGCAUUAUUAUAAGAGUGAUGCUAUGUAAAAUUACUUCGACUCCAAAAUAAUUUCAUCAGUUGUCUGUGCUAGAAUCGAACGAUCUUGCUGCCCAGCAAAUAGCGAUAUGUCGUCUGCCAGUCUGCCACAACUCACAAGCGCCUCGUUGGAGUUAAGUAAUAGUUUCCUAAAGUAAAUAAUCCAUCUACAUAAUUCUGGUUUUGUGAAAAAGAUCAAAAACGUGUACUUUCCUUCGUGUAUUAUUGUUGUAUUCCUAGUUUGAUUCAACAUUGCUGCUCAGGCUGAUUCCACAAUCAACCUCAAAGUUUAUUUUAUUUAGAUUUUCCAGAUUUGCACAUCAUCCAAUUAAAGAAACGAUUGCUGGAGUAAGGGUUUUAUGAUCCAUGAAAUGUAAACCAAAUCAAGC